rnacentral:lncRNA from 1 species
UCCAUGUGAUGGGAAACAUGGCCUUUUACCUGCCAUGAGCAUCACUGAGCUAGUGAUAUUUCUCCUACUUCUUGUUCAUUUUCUCUCUUAGGAGCAACCAGGUGCUAGUACAGAUGAUAUGAGUGAAGGCGAUGAAGCUACUGCAGAUGUGAUCAGAUACGUAGGACAAGACUCCAACAUCCACCUGAAGUCCUUGAAGUCAGACAUCAUUUCAGUUACAGGGAGAGAGAUGACUGCCAGCAAGUCAUCAACUCCCUUUUCUCAGAAAGAGUUUGAAGCCCUGGCACUGCUGGAACACCUACAAGUGCAGCUUAUAAAAACAGAAAUCCGUGCUCAGAAUGCAGAGCAGAGAUCUGAAGAUUUUGAGAAGAAGCUGGAAGAAGCCCUGGAGAGAAUCCAGGAGCUAGAGAGUGAGCUGGAGAAAAGGGGCAAAGUUGUCCCAGAACCAACACCUAAAGAAGGGCAAGAAAAAUGUUUACAAGAAAGCUUGCCUGAAGGGGAAGCCUGCUCAACUCCCAAAACUUCCACCUCUGGCCAGCCCAAGCAAUCCAGAAAAAGCAAAAAAUAAAAAAAUAACAAUAUCUGAGCAGUUUCUUUGUUACUAUUCAGAAUCGUUUCUCACCCCAGACUGCUGCCUUCAUUCUCUACUAGCCACCCCUCUCUCUGUGCCAUCUGGGCAUUAUGCUGUUCUUGUAGCUGGUUCUACCACUUCCACACCUGUCUUGUGCUUGUCCUCUACUUCCCCCCACA